UACGUAGGGUGCGAGCGUUAAUCGGACUUACUGGGCGUAAAGCGUGCGCAGGCGGUCUGUUAAGACCGAUGUGAAAUCCCCGGGCUUAACCUGGGAACUGCAUUGGUGACUGGCAGGCUUUGAGUGUGGCAGAGGGAGGUAGAAUUCCACGUGUAGCAGUGAAAUGCGUAGAGAUGUGGAGGAAUACCGAUGGCGAAGGCAGCCUCCUGGGCCAACACUGACGCUCAUGCACGAAAGCGUGGGGAGCAAACAGG
rnacentral:rRNA from 1 species